UCAUGAAUCAAACUAGUCCGUCUCCCCUUGCUAAAUCAAACAUCCAGAGUAUGAAUUGAGUUAUUGGUUGAUCCAAAUUCUAAAUUUCUAAUUCAAGAUCAUCAAACAUAGAAGUAUAUCGAAAGUGUUGGAAGAAAAGUUAGAAAUGAAUCUAGGUUGUUUGGGUUGUUGCUGAAGACUCAAAAGAGCAGAAAGAAAAAGAAGAAGAAAAUGACUUAUUUCACGGAUCUAGAUAAUCGAUAUGAGCGGUCUCGUAAAUGUGAACAUGCUGAUCCAUCAUGAAAUCAGUGGAUGAAAAUGAUCUAUUCUUCCUUUAAGCUAUGCAAUCUGCUACUGUGAAGCAACUGAUGAGAUCUGCAAUGUACUUUCCGAUCUCAGUAUCAAGAGUAGAAGCCAAGCACAGCAUUGGCAGGAGAAACUUCCCGCGAUGCAAAGCUGAAAUAGGUACAGUAUCAAGAGUAGAAGCCACCAGAAAGCCAAGCACAACAUUGGCAGGAGAAACUUCCCGCGAUGCAAAGCUGAAAUACUUGCAGCUCUGAUUAUGGGAUGUUCAGGAAGAAUCCAGUGCAACGGCUUAGUAUCUUAGAAUUGGAUGUUUUACAUUGGGUCUCGGCCGUGCCGUUGUUUAACAGUAUUCAAAGGAUACAUGGGAUUAGAGUGCAUGUAGAGUGGAGUCUAGAGUCUGUAUACAUCUUUUGUGUCUGGUGUGCCUGCAACUAGGGUCAUGGGAAGAAAAAACAACAACAAUACUUUACUAUAUAGGAUCUUGGAUGAACACCAGG